UGAGGAAUAUUGGUCAAUGGGCGAGAGCCUGAACCAGCCAAGUCGCGUGAAGGAAGACUGCCUUAUGGGUUGUAAACUUCUUUUAUACAGGAAUAAAAAGGCUUACGUGUAGGCCAUUGCAAGUACUGUAUGAAUAAGCAUCGGCUAACUCCGUGCCAGCAGCCGCGGUAAUACGGAGGAUGCGAGCGUUAUCCGGAUUUAUUGGGUUUAAAGGGUGCGCAGGCGGGCUUUUAAGUCAGCGGUGAAAUCUGGACGCUUAACGUCCAAACUGCCGUUGAAACUGGGAGUCUUGAGUAUGGAUGAAGUAGGCGGAAUUCGUUGUGUAGCGGUGACAUGCAUAGAUAUAACGAGGAACUCCGAUUGCGUAGGCAGCUUACUAAGCCAUAACUGACGCUCAUGCACGAAAGCGUGGGGAUCAAACAGGAUUAGAUACCCUGGUAGUCCACGCCGUAAAACGAUGAUUACUAGUUGUAUGCGAUAUGAUAGUAUGUGACUAAGCGAAAGCGAUAAGUAAUCCACCUGGGGAGUACGCCGGCAACGGUGAAACUCAAA
rnacentral:rRNA from 1 species